rnacentral:tRNA from 1 species
GGAGAGGUACCCAAGAGGCUGAAGGGGGGAGAUUGCUAAUCUCCUAGGGGAUCAAAAGUCCCGCGAGGGUUCAAAUCCCUCCCUCUCCG